UAUGCAGAUGAUGUAAUUUACCCAUCUGUUUCAUUGAUGAGGCUAUAUAUAGAGUAUACAUUCAUCUGUUCAGUGGUUGAAGGCUGUCUUUGUGUUGUAUAGUUCAUUAAUCAUCUUCUUGUGUUAAUAUCUCUUUCUUCUGUCUCAUUCUGUUUGCUUCUUUCAAUUCACUGAUUCUCCAAUCUCUUGCUUAGCAAUUCAUGUUGUCAUAUUUAUUAAUCUCUACAACUGUCACUUUCAGCUCUCUUCUUUAUCACCCUCUCUCAUUCAUCUGUCAGAAUUGCCAGUCUUUCUCUAUUUCUUCAUAAUAAAGAGAGAGCUCAAUGUGCUAAUUGCUUAGUGUUCAUCUGAUAUCAAAUCACUUUAAAACUUCAUUGAUUUCAAGCUGUUCCUCUGUUUUAGCUCUUUACAACCAUCCUCUAUUUUCUCUCUGCAUUUUAUCAUUGAUAGCAAGCUUCACAUCAUCAUUUACAUGUUAGAAAGUUAUUACUGACUGGUUAGAUCAGUGUUACAACAUGUCUCAUGCACACAACAUU
rnacentral:sRNA from 1 species